rnacentral:rRNA from 1 species
UACGGGGGGAGCAAGCGUUGUUCGGAUUUACUGGGCGUAAAGGGCGCGUAGGCGGCCAGCACAAGUCAGUUGUGAAAUCUCCGAGCUUAACUCGGAAAGGUCAACUGAUACUGUGCGGCUAGAGUGCGGAAGGGGCAACUGGAAUUCUUGGUGUAGCGGUGAAAUGCGUAGAUAUCAGGAGGAACACCUGCGGCGAAGGCGGGUUGCUGGGCUGAUACUGACGCUGAGGCGCGAAAGCCAGGGGAGCGAACGGG